UCAGUGGCGAACGGGUGAGUAACACGUGAGCAACCUGCCCCUGACUCUGGGAUAAGCGCUGGAAACGGCGUCUAAUACUGGAUAUGUGACGUGACCGCAUGGUCUGCGUUUGGAAAGAUUUUUCGGUUGGGGAUGGGCUCGCGGCCUAUCAGCUUGUUGGUGAGGUAAUGGCUCACCAAGGCGUCGACGGGUAGCCGGCCUGAGAGGGUGACCGGCCACACUGGGACUGAGACACGGCCCAGACUCCUACGGGAGGCAGCAGUGGGGAAUAUUGCACAAUGGGCGGAAGCCUGAUGCAGCAACGCCGCGUGAGGGAUGACGGCCUUCGGGUUGUAAACCUCUUUUAGCAGGGAAGAAGCGAAAGUGACGGUACCUGCAGAAAAAGCGCCGGCUAACUACGUGCCAGCAGCCGCGGUAAUACGUAGGGCGCAAGCGUUAUCCGGAAUUAUUGGGCGUAAAGAGCUCGUAGGCGGUUUGUCGCGUCUGCUGUGAAAUCCCGAGGCUCAACCUCGGGCCUGCAGUGGGUACGGGCAGACUAGAGUGCGGUAGGGGAGAUUGGAAUUCCUGGUGUAGCGGUGGAAUGCGCAGAUAUCAGGAGGAACACCGAUGGCGAAGGCAGAUCUCUGGGCCGUAACUGACGCUGAGGA
rnacentral:rRNA from 1 species